rnacentral:lncRNA from 1 species
AGUGCAGGUAAGGAAUCCUAAACUUUUUGUUUAUUAAUAAACUGCAUACAAAGUUGUGGUGCAGGAAGGUUUGCACUGGUAGUUUGAUAUGUUUAUAUAUCUAGCCAAAAGGAUGUUCGAAUAUUCUGACAACUAGUGUUUAUGAGGGAACAAUACAAAACUAUCCAGAUCAGUGGCAGAAUAGAAUGCUCAAUCCCUUAUAUUGACUAAUUCUUUUUAUCUCCCUCUAUAUUAUUUUGGUCAAUUGUAUUGUUUAUCAGUUGGUUUGACUGCAGAAAAUGGUAAGCCUUUUUUCCCCUUUCAUUGUCUAUCAGGUUGGUUUGAGUGCGGAAAAUGGUUAUGCUACAAGCUUGGCACGUUUUGCUGCAAAUCUUGGACCUGUUGUGUGGAAAAUUGCUUCAAGGAAAAUUGGAAGUGUUUUGCCUAGUGGACUCAAGUUUGGUCCUGGAUGGGUUGGAGAAAACAGGACAGUUGAGCAGCAACAAUUUUCCUUAUCUGAUAAGCAGAGAACUCUGAAUUCUCUAUCUGAUAACCCUCCUGGCAGAUUUUUAUCUACAGCCACUUCUGGUUCAAACUCCAUUGCUGCAAGUAGAUUUCCUUUGCAAGGUAGAGAAGACAUGGAAGCUGUCGUAGGCCUAACUUCUCAAAAUGACUCGACUUCUGCACCUUCUCAUCAGUUUCAGCAAAGUCUUGUCCCACACUCGGGUAUUAAUGGUUCUAUUGGUGGGUUUGGGUUUGGUUAUUACUCUCAAAUGGGGUUGGUAACACACUGUGUAAAUUCCUUGUCUGAAAAGACUUCAGUGCCGACUCAAACACUUGUCAUGGUUUCAGGUGCUAGUAAUUUUCUUCCAAAAGAGGCCAAGUUGGCAGAUAGCUCAAUCACUUUACAUUCUGGAAAUGCAAUGGCUGUGGAGCCUGAAAUGGUGUCACAUGCGGCGGCAACUAAUGUCGGGCUUCAGCGGAGUUCCUAUAAUGAACUGAAUUUCCUUCCAUUUGCUUCUGAUCUUAAUGUGAGAUUUCUGGCACGGGGUCCACCUAGUUCUAGUGUGCCAAUUGGUUCACCCCAGCGCCCUGAUUUAGCAUUGCAGCUCUAAUAAUCAGCUAACACGAUUUCCGUAUGAUGUGGCUUGUAUGUGCUAAUUGUAGUAUAGGUCAAGUACGCCUGUAUAUGAUGAUAAGAUUUGGUCGAAUUUACUGACUACAUUUCUUCAUUGGAAGGUCCGUUGAGUAGUGGUUCCUCAAGAAGUCUUUAGGAUCAGAUUGUAGGGGAGAUUUUGUACAGAUUGGUAUAUCUAAUUCUUUCACAGGGUUAAAAAAUUACAGAUUUGUAUGCAACAUACGGUAUCUAACAUGUUAUAUUUUGAGUUGUUAAUGAAUAUUGUUACCAAUACUACUACUGGUAUUACGUACGAGAUAUCAUUCAUGUCAUGAAUUAUGAAAUGUUCAUGUUUGGAGCAAUGAAGUAAUGCUUAAACUAAUUGAUGCAAAAUUGAGAGCAACUGGUUGCUAAGGGGGGUUGAGUGAUGUUAUAUAAAUGGCAAUUAUAUAUACGUGUGCAUAUAUAAUUAUCUCCAUGUGCAUAUAAAGUUGUCUUUAAAAUUUCUUUAAAAUUGUGGCCCGUUAUCUAGUAUUAACCAUUGGGAAAACUAUAUCAACAAAUGAUGGUUUUCCAUACAAAAAUCUCCAUGUGUCUUUGAUGGCUAUGGAAAUUAGAUCCGAAUAGGAUUACCUGUGUUGGUUGUGAUAGGACAUGAUAGAGUCCAUUUGUCUUAUGAUUAGCGAAGUAUUCUAGCAAAUUAUAGUCCUUUGACGAGAUACAGAAAGUAUGACUUGGUAUCUUGAUGGACAAGAUGUGAGCCAUUGCGAGGUAUACUUAUGUCGAGGUCUAACCAACUCCACCAUUACAUAUAACAUAUAAUUUAUGUUAAUGGUAAAUAUUUUAUGUAAUUCGUAUAACACAAAAUAUUAAAUAUUUGUAACAAUUUGUCUGCUUACAAAAAUAUUAUUAAUGUUCUAAUAAUUUGUGUAAUUAAAUAAUAUUUUAUAAGAUUACACUAAAUACUAUAAAAUUAUAAUAUUUUAAUUAAAAAAUAUUUUGGAAAGCUCGUCCUCUUAUUUUGUGGUAAAGGUAAAAUUAAAAUAAUAGUUUGACCAUAUAAUAAUUUAUUUGGUCCUCUAAUUUUAUAAAAAAUUAUUUUAGUUAUUUAUUUAAUUUUUUGUCUUUUGUACUUAUUGAACUUCUUUUUUUUAAAUUAUUCGAAAAUAAAUAAAAAAUUAAUGUUAUUUAAUAUUAUUGAUGUGGUAUAUACAUAAAUUGUCAUGGAUGAUAUGUUAGCAUUUAAUUAAUUUUUUAAAAAUUUUAAAAUAUUUACAGAGUACUUUUUAAAUAAUUUUAAUGAUUUUUAAUUUUUUUAAAAAAAUUAUAACUUUUUAAUAAGAAUUAAUUGAAUGUUGACAUGUCAUCUUUGUGAUGAUCUACAUGUAUGUCAUGUUAACAAAAUUAAAAAAUAUUAAUCUUUUAUUUAUUUUAAAGUGAUUUACAGAAAAAUAUAAAUUUAAAAACUAAAAAAAUAUCAAAAAUUAAAAUAAUUUUUAUAAAAUUAGAGCGUAAAUAAAUAUUAUACCUAAAUUGAUUUACCAGAAAAGAGGUGCAACGCUGCAAAUCAAUGCAACUUUCACGUGAGUGCUGGGCACGCGGACAUCCUUCUAUUUCACGUGACUUUCCCUCCACGCUGGCAUCUGUUCCCCCUCUCUUCUCCCAAUGUUCCUUCAUAUUACAAACAUAAUAAAAAAGUAAAUAAUAUAAAAUAAAUAAACCAAACAGAAAUCGAAAGCUUGUUUAGAUAGCAAAAAAAAAAAAAAAAAAGGAAAAGGAAAAAGCAAUGGGAGGUGGAGGUGGUGGUGGUGGUGAGAUAGCAGCGGAGACAAGGAAGAAGAGGAAGAAGGGAAGGCCCUCUCUCUUAGAACUUCAAAAACGCUCUCUCAAACAACAACAACUGCAGGAGCCGCAGCAACCGCAAUUGCUUCCUCAGAAAACCCCUAAUUCUUCUAUCUUUUCGAACCGCCGAUCCACUCGCCGCCACCCAAAUCUCAACGGUGGGUCCCCAGUUUCCGGAUCGAUUUCCGGAGGAGAAGACGACGACGACGACGACCGCCUACAGAAGAAGCAUAAACCAUUGCUUGGCUUCAAUUCUUCUCGUACUGAUCAGCAUUAUCCGAUUCCUUCGGCGCUCAAUUCGGCCUCCUAUGGGUCCGAUUCGAAUGCGGAUGGUGACAAUCCCGACGCGUCACUCAAGCGUCGCAAGUUUACCGCCGCCAAGCCUGGAUCUGAUCAAAUGGUGAUAAAUCAUACAUUAAUAUAUAGAUUUCGCGGGUUUUUUAAAGUCCUGGUUUUGAAACAGAAUCAAAAAAUUGAUUUUCCUACUUUAUUUGGAUAUUUUAUUUUAGGGUUUAUAUUUUGGGAAUCGAAAAUAGCUUCUCGUGCGCCGAAAUUUUAUGAUUGCAACAGAGAUGAACGAAUGAGUUUGACUAAGUCGUUUUAUUGGAUAUUGUUUAAACUUUUUGAUUUUCGGCAAAACUUCAAGUUGUUUUGAACAUAGUUUGUCUUCCUUUUCUUUCCCGAUUUACGAAUUUUCCAUUAUUAUUUUAUUAUUUCUUGUCUUGGAUUUAAUCCUUCCUUUAUUUUUGUGCAAAAUAAUAGAUGCACAGACCAUCAUGCCUGUAAAGCUUCAGUUUGUCUUUUCUUUUCUUUAAUAAUAAUACUUCAAAGUUGUUGUUUUUUUUUUGUACUUGCUUUGCAUUGUUGUAGCUUUUUACUGUAACUUUCCUCAGUGAUUCUUCAAUAAUCAACGCAAGUAUCUCUUUUAAUAGUUUUUUUUUUCAUUUAAUUUGGGAGUUAAAUAAAUAUAUGUAUUGACACGAGAGUUUAUCUUAUUUACAGGGAGAAAAGUUAUCGAAAGUGACGGACACACUUCAUGGUAUAAAUCUAUCUCGGUUUUCAUGAAAAAAAGGCAUUUCUGGGAAUUCUUAGAAAAAAGAAGUGUUGGGUUUUGUUAACUAUAUUAAUUUUAUUUCAUUCAUAUGUGGACAGGGUCACCGGUGGAGUCUGGCCCCACUCCCACGACGCCUUUGCCAGACAAAAAGUUGUUGGUGUUCAUUCUUGACAGGCUUCAAAAGUAUUUGUUAUUUUUGGCUCAUUUGAUUUUUUUUCUUAGUUUAUCUUCCGUUUGACGGGUUUUUAUCUUUUUUACUUAAUCUACUUCCAGGAAAGACACUUAUGGGGUAUUCUCUGAGCCAGUAGAUCCUGAAGAGGUGCAUUUUGUUUUUCAUUCUUGCAUAAAUCUAGAUUAUUGAAAAGUGAAAUCACGGUUCCUGAUAUAAUGUUGGAUUGGUCUUGAUACAGCUUCCAGAUUACCAUGAUAUUAUUGCACACCCAAUGGACUUUUCGACAGUCAGGAAAAAACUUGAUGAGGGAGCUUAUAUUACCUUAGAACAAUUUGAGGUUUGUUUUGCAAGCAUUCUCUUUGGUAAUGUGGAUACAAUGUUCAUCUAUCUGUCUUCCCCCUGACAUAGUGGAGAGGGAAAGCCAACUAAGUUGUUUGACUGCAUUACUGUCAAUGAUUAAGUUUCUGAUGUUAUUUUCUGGAUUUCUCUGGUUGAUUUGUGUGUUUUUGUAGAAAUUGUGUAUGGCGAGUCAAGUGUAUGUUGUCAAUCAAGCAAGUCCUUGAAGAAUACCAGAGGCAUGCUAUGCCUUUUGAGAUUACUGUAGUAACGAUGUUGACUAUGAUGUUUAAGUUCUUCAUUAAGUCCACUUGUUUGGGAUAGCAUUUUGGCCUCUUAUGCCUAGAAGAUUCUUUAAUUUGGUUUGAGAAGAUAAUUACUUGCCUUUGUUCUUUACCGUUCAUAUUAUAUAUAAUUUAUUUGGUACAGCCAAUGGUUUGCCUAUGGUUUAUGGAAUUUGAUUGCAAAACUUGUUUUGUUUAGCAUGGGAUCUUACAGUGUUACUCUUUCCUAGCAGAUAACUAUAUUUGCUUUGAGUUGCUUUUUGUGGUUAAUUGAGAAGAUGAAAAUCCUAAUGAAAUGAUUUUCAUGUCAGUAUAAAUGCUCUGGACCAGUGGAGAUAGUCUUUAGAUUCUACAAACAUGUAGUAAUCAGAACUUAGAUUUAGGGGAUAUAGUUUUUCUGGAAUGAUACUUGAUGUAUAACUGAAAAUUUGUGAGUUUGAUUCAUGCAGAUUGAUGUUUUCCUAAUAUGCUCGAAUGCAAUGCAGUAUAAUGCACCAGAUACAAUUUACUUUCGACAGGUUUGUCUAGGUCUCAACUGUAUUAACUCCUUUGUAAUGAUUCUGUGGUCUCUGUUAUUUUAAACGUCUGGAUUGGAUGGUUAGGCACGAUCAAUGCAAGAGCUGGCUAAAAAGGACUUUGAGAAUUUGAGGCAAGAUGGUGAUGAAGGUGAACCACAAGUGAAAGUUGUGAGGAGAGGAAGGCCACCUGGAAAGAGCCUCAAAAAGUCAUUGGUUUCAUCGUCAUCUAUUGACCAUGUUGGUUCUGAGUACUCCUCAGAUGCAACACUAGCUGCUGGACGAGAUGCUUCUAGCCUUUCAAACACUUACAAUUUGAGGAAAGCACCUAAUUCCCUCAAACUACGGCCUGCAGAUACAUUUAUCAGGCCCUCCUGGGGUUCUCCUAGCAAAGAAAAUCAUGCCAUUUGUUCAUCUGAAUGGGAGAAUGAAUUUCCAGGUUUGGUAUUUAUCUGACUUUAUAUACAUAUCCUUAAGUCUUUAGCUUUUUUAAUGUAAAAUGUUAUAAACUACAUAUUUUCUAUAUUUCAUAUUGAGCUAUUUUUCUCUCAUUUUGUAGCUUCUGUUGUGAGGGCUGUGAUGAAGUAUGGGAUGAAACAUUUUGCAGUAGAUGAGAACAGGCGUGACACCUACUGCCACUCAUCGACUUCUGGACAUGAGCAACAUACCUUUUCCACCUUGGAUGGAGAAUUGAAGCAACUAAUUCCGGUGCGUUUUAUGUUUGUAUAAUGGCAAUAACUGUUAUUAGUGCAUUAGUUAGAAGAUUAUUGUAUGAGCUGUAUAGCUGGAAUGUGUGAUUGACCUUAGACUCAUUGAGCGCAGGUAAGGAAUCCUAAACUUUUUGUUUGUUAAUAAAUUGUAUACAAAAGUUGAGGUGCAGGUAGGUUUGCCCUGGUAAUUUGAUAUGUUUAUAUAUCUAGCCAAAAGGGUGUUCGAAUAUUCUGACAACUAGUGUUUAUGAGGGAACAAUACAAAACUAUCCAGAUCAGCGGCAGAAUAGAAUGCUCAAUCCCUUAUAUUGACUAAUUCUUUUUAUCUCCCUUGAUUUUAUUUUGGUCAAUUUUAUUGUUUAUCAGGUUAGCUUGACCACGGAAAAUGGUAACCCUUUUUUCCCCUUUCAUUGUCUAUCAGGUUGGUUUGAGUGCAGAAAAUGGCUAUGCUACAAGCUUGGCACGUUUUGCUGCAAAUCUUGGACCAGUUGUUUGGAAAAUUGCUUCAAGGAAAAUUGAAAGUGUUUUGCCUAGUGGACUCAAGUUUGGUCCUGGAUGGGUUGGAGAAAAUAGGACAGUUGAGCAGCCACAAUGUUCCUUUUCUGAUAAGCAGAGGUCUCCGAAUUCUCUAUCUGAUAACCCUCCUGGCAGAUUUUUAUCUACAGCUACUUCUGGUUCAAACUCCAUUGCCGCAAGUAGAUUUCCUUUGCAAGGUAGAGAAGACAUGGAAGCUGUCAGAGGCCUAACUUCUCAAAAUGACUCGACUUCUGCACCUUCUCAUCAGUUUCAGCAAAGUCUUGUUCGACACUCGGGUAUCAAUGGUUCUAUUGGUGGGUUUGGGUUUGGUUAUUCCUCUCAAACGGGGUUGGUAACACAGUGUGUAAAUUCUUUGUCUGAAAAGACUACAGUGCCGACUCAAACA